AAGUCGUAACAAGGUUUCCGUAGGUGAACCUGCGGAAGGAUCAUUAACACGUAUCCAACGUUAAACAACCCCGUGAACCUUCAGCCUGCUCUCGUAGCCCACGCGGCAACAGCAAUCCCGGUAAAUCAUUGACGACCAGUUUUGAUUCGGGACCUCUGUUACGAUGUGAGAAGUUACAGUUACGAUCGAGCGGUAGAGUCAGUGGCAUGGCGUCCCCAAGCAGAAUCCACCGACCGGCAGACAUGUCACAGGGUCCCCAUGCCCCUUACCUCACCCCAUUACUAAUGACUAGCUUAGCGGUAACGCGCUGAGUAAAAAAAAACCGAACAACUGUUAACAAUGGAUAUCUUGGUUCUC
rnacentral:misc_RNA from 1 species